GGGGGCUCCAUAACUGAAUUCUGUCAGGGGGCCCAGAAUUCCUAGGGACGUCCCUGACGUUUUUUCUAUCGUAACACUCCGCAAGAAGUCCGGUAACUUAUCAACCCAAGCGUCCUCGGUUGCUAAGCGACAUCAACGUCUUUGGAGGACUAUUUCUCUGCUGAUCAACACUACGAAUGCUGGUAAAAAAUACAUUUAAAAAGACGCACCCUGUGAAGUUAUUUUUUUGAAUAGUUCACAGUAGGGCUGGGCGAUAUAUCGAUAUUUAAAAUAUAUCGAUAUUUUUUCAAACGCAAUAUGAAACGAGACCAUAUCGUCAAUAUCGAUAUAAUUAAAUUUGCGUUGAAAUUACAGCACAUUUGUUCAGGCAGUCAUGCAGACCGUGUUCAGUAAAAUAAAUAAAUAGCGAUCUCUGUUCGGCGCAUGUAGGCCUAUCUGCCUAAGCCCAUGUUGAAAUAAUUUUGAAUGUUGAUGGCGCAGUUGGUGAAAUAAACAGAUUGAUUUCAUACAAAUCAUAAAAGCCCCUCCCUGUGUCAUUGUGCGAGCGAGCGUGCGUGGGGGGUUCUUGAUUGCCAAUUUUUCGAACAUUAUUCGAAUCCUUCUCAGUGAAUAUUGAAUGGUAUUUUUGCCAGAAAUGCACAUCCCUAUUAGAAGGCUGAUGGAUGUCUUGAGCGCUGUCUCCUCCUUCCGCCAUGAUUCAAACUUCAAAACAUUUUGUUGUAGGCUACACAGUCUGCCUGCACGGCAACUUCAGGAGACUCUGAUGAAGAGCUGGGAAGGAUUUAAGCACACGGUUUCCACACCGCGUGCGCGGUUAUCCACCGAGAUAAUAAUUGUAUUUGAAAUGAAAACGGUAAUUGUUAUUAAAACAUUUUUAUCGGGGUUUACCGUUACACCGGUAACGUUACAUCCUUAACACAUACGCACACGAACACACAGAGACAAGCAUUCAUGCCAGUGGUGCGCGGGUAGGCUAACUUUCACCCGCUACUCCUCUACGCGCCUAUUAAAGGGAAAACCGAAGCAGCGGGAUAUUUGGCACAGAGAAGACGGUCGUUGACCGUUUUACCAAGGUUUAGUAUGAUAUACUGUGCGCAGAAUCCCCUGCCCAAAAUUAUUGUUAACUCAGAAAUUAUAAUAUUAGCCCAUUCUUCGGCGAUUUGAUUCGCUCUGCAGCUGGGGCUGGAGAGCAAUACACCACCCCCUACUGCCCUACCUCAGGAGUACCGCGCCCCCUACUGUUUUCUUCAGGACUUACCUGGCUCAAUGACUUUGCCCGCUGGGUACUUGACGACGAUCUGCCGUGCGUCCAGGUGCUUCAGGGUGAACUGGAAGCCACACAGCGCCUCCACCAGGCCGAUCCGGUGAGUCAUGUGCAGGUCGUUGGCUUCUCGCUUGUAGGUCUGCAGAGGAAACAUCAUAGCACAUCACACCUCCCUCCCGCCAAUCAUAUUACUGCAUUCGUAAGAUUACGAAUUCGUAAGAUUACGCGCCUAACCUGACGCUUUAUCAUUGUGUCACAAAAAUGGUUCAACGUGCAUACGCAACUAGAUGAGCCUGCCUGAAACUUAUUUUCCCCCGCUACUUUUCUUUUGCUCCACAAACAUGGCUGAGAUCACCACCAAUGCUGCGCUGUAUAUGUGUGUGUGCACGUUCUGUGCGAGCCCUGCCCGGCCCAACACAUUAACUGUAAUUAUGAGCCCGAGCCCCAAGUUACACGUAAAAAAGUUACACAUUUGUUACUUAGGCCUACUCUGCUGAAUAUAUAUGUAAGGGCUAAUGUAUAGAACGCUGGUCAUUAUCGGGAAAAUAAGCCCCAACAAGGCGAACAAGACACCGACGUGCAGCGGAGGGGUCUUGCUUCGCGGUCCGACCUGGCCUGCGGGUCGGCUCGGGCUCGGUCAGAGAAUCUAAACUCUAGUGCAUGCCAUCCUCCGUAGGUGCUCACAGCUGGGUGAGUUUUACCACCUCCUCAUUGUUUCAGCACAUACUGAAACGAUGACUUGGUCGUCCCAUGUUCUUUCUGCUUCUGUGCGUCCUCGGCUCCGUCUCUCUCUGCCAGUGACAUCGGGUCAAGCGAACUCUGCGUGUUAAUGCGUUGGGCGCGUUAUUUAGGUGCGUAAAACGCGUCUAACGCGCUGCUUUAGCGCGUGUAACGCAACUACGCGCCUAAACCUAUGCAACAAUUUCAGAUCUUCUACGCCUCUAACGCGCGUAACUCGUUCAGUGUGGCCGUACCUUUAGUCUAUUGGAACCAUGGGAAAAGGAUUGGAUUAACCCAAGUAACCAGGUUACAAUUAGGGGUGUGACCGGGUACACGUGUAACCGGUUAGUAAAUCAUAACCUUUUAGGAAAAAUCUGUAAACGAAAA